CUCGCGCCCCUCCUCCUGCUGCCCUGCGUGACCGCCCUGCUUUGUAUACGGCACGGAAGGUCCGCGGUGGGUGCGGCAGCUUAGGUUUUACUCUGGAGUCUGCCAUUUGGGUUGGCUGGUGAUCUUUGCAAGUGGACCCUACAGAGGCUUUCAGAUGGCUGCAUCGGAUGAAAAACUGGGGUUUGGACAUAAUUGUACCACCUGUUAACAUCUGACGACCUGACCCUGGAAGAGAGUUCAGUUUGCUGGGCAGGUUCAGGCAUUUCCCUGGUUUUCCUAAUAUUUUUGACUAAACUGAAUUCCAAAUACACCAAAGACUGCUGGCUUCCAUUUCUCUCAGAGACCAGUUCCUGAUGCGGGUCCGCUGAUGGCAGAAAAGCUAAGCCGCCUGCCUCCCAGUUCCCAAUGCAAAGACUGAAACUAUGGGGGCUAGAGGAAACAGUCAAAGGCCAAAUGAAUGAAUAAUGUGGCUUCAACUGU